UAGGGAAUCUUCGGCAAUGGACGAAAGUCUGACCGAGCAACGCCGCGUGAGUGAAGAAGGUUUUCGGAUCGUAAAACUCUGUUGUUAGAGAAGAACAAGGACGUUAGUAACUGAACGUCCCCUGACGGUAUCUAACCAGAAAGCCACGGCUAACUACGUGCCAGCAGCCGCGGUAAUACGUAGGUGGCAAGCGUUGUCCGGAAUUAUUGGGCGUAAAGCGAGCGCAGGCGGUUUCUUAAGUCUGAUGUGAAAGCCCCCGGCUCAACCGGGGAGAGUCAUUGGAAACUGGGUGACUUGAGUGCGGAAGAGGAGGGUGGAAUUCCAUGUGGAGCGGAGAAAUGCGUAGAUAUAUGGAGGAACACCGGUGGCGAAGGCGGCUCUCUGGACUGUAACUGACGCGGAGGCUCGAAAGCGUGGGGAGCAAACAGG
rnacentral:rRNA from 1 species